CCAGGAGCCGGGAGGCUCCGCCGGCCACCGCGGCACCCGCUCCAGCCGGGCCCUGGUGCCAGCGAGUCCCGCGGAGCCCUCGGCCCACGCGCAGGGCCGGGCCGCGGCUCCCUUGUUAGUCCAUCCGCCUCUGACGGCCGAGAGCCCGCGGCUUCCCGGGACCCCCAGAGCCUCCCAGUCCCUUGCCCAGGAGAGAAGACUGGGCAAGGAGGCCCUGAAGGCCAGAGGAGCUGCCACUCUGGAGGGGCACCAAUGUCCCACGGGGGCAGGAGUCUGGGGACAGGGGAAUUUCGCAGUGUCCCCAGAUCCAAGAUGUGCAGCUGUUUUCCUUUUAAGAAAGUAACUUGAUCCAGGCGCCUGAGACCUGGGUGCUGGCUCCGUGGGUGGCGAGCGGGGCCGGGGAGCUGGGUGACUCCCGAGGGCAGGGCCCAGGCGGCGGGGAGACGAUCAGCCGGUGUGACCAGGGAGGGCCCCAGCUGGCCCUGGCCAGAUGCCCCGUCCCCACACCCUGGCCGGGUGGGUGGCUGACAGUACGGGUAGCGGAGGGCUCAUGAGCUGUGACAUCUUCCUGAAAGCCCUCCAGCGGGGAGGGAGGGACGCUCUUCCACGGCACGGAAGCCACUCUGCACAUUCUAGAAUGUGCGAGAAGACGCCCUCACUCCAGGCGCCACCCCUCAGACACCAAUUGACGGAGGGCCGCUCCCUGCAGUCCAGACUCUCCCUAGAUCGUCCCCAGCCAGGGGCAGGCGGCCGGCAUCCAGGGGCCAGGCUUGGUCACGAGAGGAACCUCAUGCCCUCCGACACCGGAUCCGCUGCCAGGUGCCCUGACUUCGUGCAGGCAGAGGGCACCCGGCUCUGGAGUGUGUGGAGCUGGCACCGGCAGUGGCCUUGCCGUCCGGUCCAUGUGCCCUGUCCUUCCCUGGGCUGUGUGUCCCUCUGCUCUCUCAGUGGCCAGACUUACAGGGAGGCAGUGUGCAGCGGCCAUUCCCAACAGCCACAGCGCCUCAAGGCCACUGAGGCACCCUGUGUGCUCUGCUCUGCGGGUUUGGCUCUCAGACCAUUCCCCGGGGUAAGCCAGCUCUGCAGGAGGACCUCGAGUGACAAGGACACAGAGGACACUGAAACAAGGAAAGGGAGGUGAGAGGACCGGAGCAAGAACAGGCAACACAGAGACGGGAGCCAGGCUGGACUCUAGGUCGAAGGGAGCAAGGCCUGUCUGCUGCCCAAGGACAGGGCUCUACAGAGAGUAGCCGCCCAGGGCCCGGCACCACCCAGGAAGGGCCCGACUGGGCUCCGUCCUACGUUGCAGCCUCCAGUGGGUGUGAGGGAGAGGACAGUGAGCUCAGAGACGAGGCUCGGGGUGCGUGUGCCUCUGGAAUCUGUCGCAAACCUAACGUCCCAGCUACUCCAGGUGCACUCAGAGGACCCCAGCUCCGGCUCAGCACCAUUUGGAAUGUUCACAGGUUUUGUGGCUUGGGCAUUGGGACAGGGAGCAGCAGGGAUGGCCUGUCACGUGUCUGCCAUUUGGUGCAGGUUUGGCCGAACCUGGGCUGGGGCUGCUGGCCAACACCUGGGUGUGGCCUCCUCAUGGAGCUGGGGCUUCCUCCCAACAUGGCUGCAAAGUUCAAAAGUUCACUCCACGGUGCUCUCUGGACACGUGCUCCCCACGGGCAAGCGGGCUCUCCUCCGUCUCCGCUGUUCCCCGUCGCCGACUCCCGUCCAGUCGUGUGGGCAGGAUCGAAGCCAGGAUCCCACCCUGCAAGGGGCCGACACCCUCCAGACGGGGCUUCUCGCUCGUAACUCCUGCAAGCCCCAGGACAGGGUCCCCUCAACUGUGAGCCGCCCCCCAGUACAGUGGGCAGCAGAGGGGCUCCUAGCCAGGUGAGGACUCAGAACAGCAGAAGAACAGCUGCAAAAACUGAGCGAGAUCUCACCAUCACACACGGAGGUCAAGGCGGAGCCCACGGCUGAGUCCAACCAGGUGGACGGCCAGCUAAGACAAACACGAAGCAGCCGUCAGGGAAUACAACGCCACCCAGACUCAGCUCUGCAUCUCAGUCCCAACGUCCAGGUAGAAGUCUUUAGCAUCACUUGGCGUACAAAGGGCCAAGAAAAUGUGACCACUAACAAUAAAGAAAUGUUAAGCCAAGUGA